GAUGAACGCUGGCGGCGUGCCUAAUACAUGCAAGUCGAGCGAACGGACGAGAAGCUUGCUUCUCUGAUGUUAGCGGCGGACGGGUGAGUAACACGUGGAUAACCUACCUAUAAGACUGGGAUAACUUCGGGAAACCGGAGCUAAUACCGGAUAAUAUUUUGAACCGCAUGGUUCAAAAGUGAAAGACGGUCUUGCUGUCACUUAUAGAUGGAUCCGCGCUGCAUUAGCUAGUUGGUAAGGUAACGGCUUACCAAGGCAACGAUGCAUAGCCGACCUGAGAGGGUGAUCGGCCACACUGGAACUGAGACACGGUCCAGACGCCUACGGGAGGCAGCAGUAGGGAAUCUGCCGCAAUGGGCGAAAGCCUGACGGAGCAACGCCGCGUGAGUGAUGAAGGUCUUCGGAUCGUAAAACUCUGUUAUUAGGGAAGAACAUAUGUGUAAGGAACUGUGCACAUCUUGACGGUACCUAAUCAGAAAGCCACGGCUAACUACGUG
rnacentral:rRNA from 1 species